CAUGCCCCCCCCCCUUUCCUGGUAGUUGCUGUCGUUGUACCAAAAAGUGCAUAAGGGUGGACAUUACUUAACCGUCGUUUCAAUCCUGGGGACGUUGAGUCAUUGCUAACCAGGGCCGGUCACUGCUAGCCAAAACAAGACUUCAUAGGUGCAUAUGAGGUGUGUCAGCCUGUGACCAGCUGGGAAAGCAGAUGGAGCUCGCCUCAAAGAAAUGCAUCAACAUGCACGAGCUGCUUCAAAGACUGAGACUGGAGGACAAAUAAACGAGCCUGCGGGUGGAAUGCAUGUUCACAAUUUCUCAAAGUUUGAGCAUUUCUCUGUGCAUGCACUUUCUGCUAUCUUGCAUAUGCUUUAAAAGGAAAGUGCUUCCCUGCUGAACUUCA